UACAGAGGUCCCAAGCGUUGUUCGGAUUCAUUGGGCGUAAAGGGUGCGUAGGUGGCGCCGUAAGUCGGGUGUGAAAUUUCGGAGCUUAACUCCGAAACUGCAUUCGAUACUGCGGUGCUUGAGGACUGGAGAGGAGACUGGAAUUCGUGGUGUAGCAGUGAAAUGCGUAGAGAUCAUGAGGAAGACCAGUGGCGAAGGCGGGUCUCUGGACAGUUCCUGACACUGAGGCACGAAGGCCAGGGGAGCAAACGGG
rnacentral:rRNA from 1 species